rnacentral:lncRNA from 1 species
AGAAACCAAAUUUGACAAUGUCUUAGGAAAGACUAACAACAUAAUAGUGAUUGCAUGCCCAUUUAAGGUGCUUUUAGUUGGAAGUAUGUGACCCACCAUGUAUUAUGUGCAGGCUAGUGCACUAAUAGUGACAUGUAAAUGACAAGAUUUCACAUUUUUUUUAAAAAGAAAUUGCAUGCCCAUUUAAGGCGUUUUUAGUGGGAAGUAUGUGACCCACCAUGUAUUAUGUGCAGGCUAGUGCACUAAUCUUAGAAGUAUGCUUCAUGGCAUCUCUACAAGUGUAUUCCUUUAUCAUCUUUCACCAUUUAAUGGGUCAUUAAAUGUCUGAUUCUACUUCAUAAUAGAGAUAUUUACCCACCUUACAACUUAUGAUAAACAUAACAAUUUCACUGAAAUGAUGAGCAAUCACUACUGAUAUUAAUAGAAUAGAUAAUUGUCAUGAGUAAUAAAGUAGACAUGAUAGUAGCAGCUAUAGUGAAAAGAACGAUAAAAACAGAAAACUGACAAAGCACAAAAAGGUAUAAGCCUGGAGAUUAUUAGGAAAAUACAAUAAAUGGAAGAGUUAGUUUGACAACUUGUUAAAUGAAAGUUACAAAUGGUUGGAGGAAUCUCAUAUGAAUAAGGGUGUUGAUAGGUCAGGUUGGGUUUGGUUGGAGGAAUCUCAUAUGAAUAAGGGUGUUGAUAGGCCAGGUUGGGUUGGGUCAGUAACGUAUAACAAAUCCAUAUGGGUCUCUCCCAAACCCAUUGGUCAGGAAUGCCUGACUUGAACCUGCCUGGAUGACCAAUGUAACAACCAGGCCCAUUUAAUUUCUGGGGUUCCUAUUUUUAGCAGAAAAAUGUAUAAAUUUGGACUGUUCAUUUUAGACAUUUUUGUACUUUUUUGUGCUGCAUCUUGGGCAAUAACUAAGAAUGACUUGCAGUAGGAUUCCUUUUCCAUAUUUUAAGGCUUGUAUCAAGAUGCAAUUGAUGCUCAAAAAACUAAGAAUUAGGGUGCCCAAUAGAAGUUAGCUUAGAUUUUGAGAAUCCUGUUAGAUUCAAAGUGGGAAAUCGUUAGGUGGCCAGCUGGAGGGUAUCAGUCACUGAUUACUGAGAUUUAUUUCCAAUUUACAGAGUCCUAGUUAAGAUGGAAAAGGAAACUAGUUAGUCUGUAAAUAAGGCCUCCUGGCCACUGAUGCUGGUGAAUAUUGAUACUGUAUGUGAGUUAUUUUGAGUGGAAUAACAGGCUUCAGGAUGGCCCCCCAUCCCCCCAAUCUUAUAUUGAUAUUUGUUCCUCUAUUCUCCUUCUUCUUUUGUUCUAUCUUCUAUCUGCAUCUUUUUCUCUUAUCCAUCUACUCUUCUCUAGUCUUUCUAAAUUUUUUUUCCUUAAUCCUCUUUCUAUCUUCCCUUUGCUGCUCUAAAUAUAUUUCCACAACCGGUAGCAGCGAACCUCUGAAAUAUCAAGCAAACUAUUGCUGUUUUAACAGCUAUAAAGUAGAUCCUGAAGAAAACUAGUGCAACUUUCCUUUUUGCAAGAGUUCAGGCUACAUCAUCUCCAUCUCAAGAGACAUCUUCAAGCACUUGGAUACAUCCAUCCCACCUUCUAAAGGGACCCAUUUGAAACUCUGAAGUAGAUAAGCUAGCCAAAGAGAAGCUAAACCAAUGACUUAUGGAGAGGAGUGGCAAUGGCCAGUGGAGAGGUGGGAGGGAGG